rnacentral:rRNA from 1 species
UACGAAGGGGGCGAGCGUUGUUCGGAUUUACUGGGCGUAAAGGGCGCGUAGGCGGCCCUCCUUGUCGCGUGUGAAAGCCCUGGGCUCAACCUGGGAAUGGCAGUGGAUACUGGCAAGCUAGAGUGCGGUAGAGGGUAGUGGAAUUCCCGGUGUAGCAGUGAAAUGCGUAGAGAUCGGGAGGAGCACCAGUGGCGAAGGCGGCUACCUGGACCAGCACUGACACUGAGGCACGAAAGCGUGGGGAGCAAACAGG